GAAUCAAGGAGGCAGCACUUCAGAGACACUCUGACAAUCUGCAGCUAAGGUUUCAAACAGAUCCCUGAGUCUCUCGCAGAUUUCCCUCCAUCCUUUAUUGUACCAGUACCAGAUUGCCUGCUCUCCAGCGCAAAGCUGAGAUGGCGUAUCAAAGGAGACUGCCCACCCUGUUGCUCACCUUCAUUCUCUGCUGUGGAGUUAUUGGUCCCGGAGACGGCAUAUAUUCCCUGCCACAUCGCAUCAAACGUCAAUCUGAUGCACCAGAAGUGAUUGCUGUGCUGCCUAAUCCUGAUGUGACACUCAUAGCAAUGAGAGAUGACAGGCACAUUACAGAGCCAAAUAAUAACAACCAGAGAACUCAAGCAGAGGACUUAAUUAACUAUUGGCAAGAUACGCACCUGGGCAUAGGAACACAAAACAACUUAGUACACUUACCAAAUGUGAGAAAUCAACUCCUUCGAAUUGAUCGUCAGGGAUCGUUUGACCAUGGACAUGGCCGAUAUUAUAACUUCCAAAUCCAGAUUAACUCACAGCGUGGUCCUAGAGAAAGCACCACUGUGGCACUGAUCAUAGUCCCUGACGGCGUCACAGCAGAACACAUGCGUGCGGCCUUCCUACAUAGUUUAAGGAACCAGGCUAAAGUUUGUUUGGAAGUUGGAGACGUCAACAUCUCACCCAAUUGCCAAGUGAGAGGUGCAGGUAGUAACAAAGGUAAAAAGAAUAAAGGCCCAGGGACAAGUGGGGGUGGAGGUAAAGGUAAAGGUAAGAAAGGAUAUAAAGCAAUAGUAAGCAAGUGAUUGGGUAGUUAGCCGAUCCUUCCAAUGUCAGUGCUUUUUUGUCAAAUCAACUAAUCAGUCAAUCGGGUGCUACAAUUGUCAUAAUGAGCAUGCAUUCUGUUUUCAUUAUUUUGCUUAACUGUAGCAUACGGCUACAAUUACAUUCAUACAAACUUUUGCAUUUUUAUUUUCUUUUUGCUGUAACAGCUACCAGCAGAUGAGUGCAUUGUGCAUUGAAAUAAUUGUUUGUUGAAAUGUUCACCCUGAAUAGCUUGGGAUACAAAUUAAAUGUUAAGUUAUGUUAUUAUUUCAUGUCAGGCCGACACUGUAUGCUUUUGGCCCAACAACCUUGAGGGACCGAAUUCCCCUCGAAUCUGAAUGGCAGUUUGGGCAGGCUCACACUAUCCAGACUAUCCAUGUAACAGCUCCGGCACAUAAGGAUGUUAUGCGAAGAGUGAGAGUGAGAGUGAGAGCAGUUUGGAUGCGCUGUAUGAGUACGUCAUCAUCAUGACCAAUUAUGUAAGGUAAUGUGAGUUAUUAUGGCUUUUGUAACUUAAGGAAAAUCACACUGUGUGCCCAGCUUUAGGCUUUAUUCCUUCAAUCUGCUCUUGUAAAAUGUUUACCCUUUGGUGAGUAAUAAAGAUUUGUAA